rnacentral:lncRNA from 1 species
AGCCACUGUACCUGGCCCCUAAAACAUAAUUUUAUGUUUGUUUUCUGAAUGAAGAUAUUUGAAUUCUGUUCACUUGAAAUUAAAGUUCAUUUUAUAAUAGUGUACAAUUUUAAGUAUAAAAAGUGAAAAUUUCUGUAAAUUAAAAGUAAAAAAUUUUUGUAAAAUUUUUGUAAAUACCUUUCAUGGUAUACUAAAAGGGCAGAUCAUAAUUCCAUCAUAUCGCAUGGUUUAGAAAUGAACAUUCUGUACAAGAGUCACUAAACACCUAGUAUAUGCUUUUGUUUAUUCAAAGCAUUAUAAAGAAUUUAUUAGUCUACGAGGUCAGGUAUUCAUUGAAUGUGCAGGAACAUAAACGCAAGCUGGAAAAAGAACUCUAAAUUCCCCUCAAUUGGUAAUCUUUUUAUAUAAGGCAGACAUUCAGCAAAAGGAAAUAAUUAAGAAUACAGGAGGCUCUUAAUGCUUCCCUUGUUCAUCUUCCCACAGGUCUCUUUUACCUGCAAGGGGAUCAGAGUGUUUAGUCUGGGAAUACUGCCAGCAGUUUAGGAAAGCCAGCAGCCAACUGGCAUGAGUCAGCACUGUGCUGUUACUAAAUACUGUUGAUGGACAAACUAUUGUCACCUGAGUGAAUUUUUCUCUUGUUACGUCUCACUGUUCAGAUUCCUUCUAUUUUAGCCUGUGAAGUCCUAGGUGAUGUUGGGUAGCAGUGGUGGGUAGGGGUAGGGGUAAAUGGUGAUGAAGCAUGAAGACUCUUAGAGAUCAACAUGGAAAUCUACGGUAUGUAGACUUCAUUGAAUUUAUGAACUAAUAUUUCUGGGAUGCCUAGCUUUGUUACUGAUAAUAUAGUAGAUAAAGGCAUAGUUUAUCAUUCACUAAAUUGAUGCAUCUCCAUCAAUUCUUAUUAAGUACUUAUUCUUAAUAAGUACUAUAAGCAAUCACAAUACUAUCUUUGUUCACAAAGUUAAGAAUGGCUCCCCGUAUGUUUUUCUUUAAAAAAUUUUUCCUAACUACUAAAUUACCAGGGAUCCCUUUUGUUUUUCAACAAAGCUCUGGGCAUGAGGGUAAAACUGUGUGCAUCACUAUCUCAUAAAAAUACACCUUGGACUCUAUCUUCCAGGCCUCAAAAGCAAAAAACAACCAUGUCAACAAUGGGAGAAUGAAAAGAGCUAAUUUCCUAGAGAUACAAAUCUUAAUUCUUAAAAUAAACAUUUCAUCUAUAAGACAUAAACGAAGUUCCUAAUAAUCUAGAAGACAAAUACUCAUUGAAAGACUCACAGAACUAACACCAAGAUGUAAUGGGGCUAAGCAGGGAGGAGAGGAAGGGAGGGGUAUUAGACUUAAGGACUACUUAAGCCAAGAACAAGAACAGAAAGAAGUCUAAGCUACAUGAAAGCAGAGUUUGUUUUGCCCACUGGUGUAUUACAUGCAUCUAGAAUAUGCUCAUUAAGUAGCCUCUCAAUAAAUAUGUGUUGAAUAAAUGAGUAACUCCAAGAGUUUUUGACUGCAAGAUGUCCCUCCAUCCUUCUCUUUAUUUCUACUCAAUUGCUGAAGAACCAUAUUAUUAAGGACCAUUUCUUAAAAGUGUCACACAUGGGCCUCACCAAACUGGCCCCAACUCUAUCCCUGUCUCUUAAACAUAUCAUAUUCAUUUCCUAACUCCAUUUCUUUGCUCAUAACAUUCAUCUUAUUUGAAAUAUCCUCUGGCCUAUUCAUUUGAACCCUACCUAUCAUCCCAUGCCUUUUAAGGAGAACUGUGGCCCACAGAGUUCCUUACAUCACCAUCUUUACUAAAUAUAAGGUUGUGGCAUGUUGUCUCAUGUGUGGAAUUAUUUUUCCCUUAAGCGUAAGUCCUGGCCCAUCCAUCAGACUUCAAGCUUUUAGAGCACAGAGCUCAAGGCUUAUCAUCUAUGGCCGUGCUCCAUGACUUGUCCUGGUAACUGGCUCAGGAGUAGCCCUCUGCAGUGGAGAGCAAGACAAGUCACAUCAUUUACUAGUUGUAAGACUAUGGGUAACUUUUCUCUGCCUAUGCCUCUAAUUCUUUCACAUGCAAACUGAAAAGAUUAUCACUUAUCUAGAAUGGCUAUCAUAAGGGUUAGAGAUUGCCUUCAUAAAGUGCUUAGCAUGGUGCUUUACGAAGAGCUGGUGCUUAACACAAGCAGCAAAUGUUACUAUGUUUUUUUUCUUUUAUUUGCAAAGACACUGAAAGCAAACAUUACUACUUGCUUUUCUUUAAAGGUUCAGAGCAAAUUCUGAUUUCAUAGAUUCCCCAGCUGGCAUUACACUGCCUGAAGGUCUAGUUCUAAACAUGAUAGGCUGUAAGCUCCAGGAAGAAUAUACUCACUCUUAAGAAGUUCUGGCUGAUUAGAAUUCAGAAUAGCAUGCUACCAACUACAAAUCAUUUGGUUGAAUCCCUGGA